rnacentral:tRNA from 1 species
GCAAAACAGCUCAGUCGGUGGGGCGCUGAGAUGAUGACCGAGAGGUCGCAAGUUCAAUUCCUGCAAUUUUUCA